AAUUUUCGGCAAUGGGGGCAACCCUGACCGAGCGACGCCGCGUGAGUGAAGAAGGUCUUCGGAUUGUAAAGCUCUGUUGUUAGGGAAGAACAAGUAUCGGAGUCACUGCCGGUGCCUUGACGGUACCUGACGAGAAAGCCACGGCUCACUACGUGCCAGCAGCCGCGGUAAUACGUAGGUGGCAAGCGUUGUCCGGCUUUAUUUGGAGUAAAGCGCGCGCAGGCGGUCUUUUAAGUCUGAUGUGAAAUCUUACAGCUUAACUGUAAGCGGUCAUUGGAAACUGGGAGACUUGAGUGCAGAAGAGGAGAGUGGAAUUCCAUGUGUAGCGGUGAAAUGCGUAGAGAUAUGGAGGAACACCAGUGGCGAAGGCGACUCUCUGGUCUGUAACUGACGCUGAGGCGCGAAAGCGUGGGGAUCAAACA
rnacentral:rRNA from 1 species